rnacentral:rRNA from 1 species
AGAAUCAACGCUGGCGGCGUGCCUAACACAUGCAAGUCGAACGAGAAAGUGGAGCAAUCCAUGAGUACAGUGGCGACCGGGUGAGUAACACGUGACUACCUACCCUUGAGUGGGGGAUAACCUCGGGAAACCGAGGCUAAUACCGCAUAAUAUCGAGAGAUCGAAGGAGUAAUCCGCUUUUGGAGGGGGUCGCGGCUGAUUAGCUAGUUGGUAGGGUAAUGGCCUACAAAGGCGAAGAUCGGUAUCCGGCCUGAGAGGGCGCACGGACACACUGGAACUGAAACACGGUCCAGACUCCUACGGGAGGCAGCAGUGGGAAUUUUGCGCAAUGGGGGAAACCCUGACGCAGCAACGCCGCGUGGAGGAUGAAGCCCCUUGGGGUGUAAACUCCUUUCGACCGGGAAAAUAAUGAUGGUACCGGUGGAAGAAGCACCGGCUAACUCUGCGCCAGCAGCCGC